ensembl:lncRNA
CAUCAUCAAUUUGGAGGGAAAUCAACAGCACAAACAACAAGACGCGGGAUCAUUAGAGACUGUGAAUAACUGAUGUGUCUUGCUGCCUCUGGUCAUCUGCCAUCACUCAAGCAGCAUUUAAUUCUCUUCUGCUCCCUUUCUCUCUCUCUCUGUCUGUCUCUGUUUGUUUAGUGGUGCAGAGAAAGUUUGCUGAAUAUGUGAAUGAUGUAGAAACCGCUGUUUCAUCAAACUAAAAAGUUUGAUUAUGAAUAUGAUUAAGACAUUUUGCAUGGGUUCAUGGAUAUUUAUUAGGUUGUCAAUCGAUUAAAAUGAAAUGAAGAUAACAUAAUAAAUCUAGCAUUGUUGUAGCAGAAGAAUAAAGCUUGGAAUAGGCAUUAAGUAAUAUAUUAUAUUUUUCAGAUCAUUAAAUAUAAAUCUGUCACUGUCCUGCAGACCACAGAAAACCAUCCAGUGAAGUAUUCCAAUAUAUUAUGCUGCAGUGCCCAGCUUGGCCCAGGAAGUUUGUGUUUCUCUCCACAAUUACAGAUGUCCUACCCUGCCUUUUCAAUCAAUGCCUGCACCUGAAGCUGGUACCUCACACAAGGAGAGGAUACAAUAGGAUAGGGUGGGACUUUCUUUUACAAAACAGAGGCUGAUGGGAUUGAUUCUCUGACCUUCAUAGUGUGUUGAACCUCUGAAGCUUGUUUGAAACAUCCUGGACUUAUUGGACACAUAUUCUAGUGAGCACAAACUCACAGUCUGUUCAUUUUCUAUGAAUUUUCUGUUCUAACUUGGACAGUGUUUGAAACUUUGUAUUGCACUUCUUAUUGCCUCCUUAAAAUGAAUUGCUUAUUGUAAGUGGCUUUGGAUGAAAGUGUCUGCUAAAUAUGCUUUAUAAAUAUUAAAUAUUAAUAUCAAAAGUCAUCUUCAUGAAGCUAAAGUUUUUCCCAUGGGUUUAUACUUUCAGAUGAUAACAAAACUUGAACUCAAUAGAGCUGAACAAUGACACUGUUGUCCUGUGCUUAUCGCUGAAUUGAUCUUGUUUCAUGGUGAAUUCACUUUACAGAAUUAUUGAACUGAACUGAAUCAAGACUGAAGCUGCAGAAUGACACUG